CGCAGCCGCGGUAAUUCCAGCUCCAAUAGCGUAUAUUAAAGUUGUUGCAGUUAAAAAGCUCGUAGUUGAAUUUCGAGAUCAAAUUGUUGGUCGUGCCUCGGUACGUACUGGCAUUAUUGAUUUCCCCCUUCUGAAGAACCUUGAUGUCAUUAAUUUGGUGUCUUGGGGAAUCAGGACCGUUACUUUGAAAAAAUUAGAGUGUUUAAAGCAGGCUCACGCUUGAAUACAUUAGCAUGGAAUAAUGAAAUAGGACGUUUGAUUCUAUUUUGUUGGUUUCUAGGAUCGACGUAAUGAUUAAUAGGGAUAGUUGGGGGCAUUAGUAUUCAAUUGUCAGAGGUGAAAUUCUUGGAUUUAUUGAAGACUAACUACUGCGAAAGCAUUUGCCAAGGAUGUUUUCAUUAAUCAAGAACGAAAGUUAGGGGAUCGAAGACGAUCAGAUACCGUCGUAGUCUUAACCAUAAACUAUGCCGACUAGGGAUCGGAUGAUGUUAAUUUUUAAUGUACUCAUUCGGCGCCUUAC
rnacentral:rRNA from 1 species